GCAUAUAGAUUGCUUGCAAUUUAUGAUGGCGACCGGCGCACGGGUGAGUAACGCGUAUCCAACCUACCCAUUACUAGGGAAUAACCCAGCGAAAGUUGGCCUAAUGCCCUAUGUAGUCGUUUGAUCGCCUGAGAUUUCGACGAAAGAUUUAUCGGUAUUGGAUGGGGAUGCGUCUGAUUAGCUUGUUGGCGGGGUAAAGGCCCACCAAGGCAACGAUCAGUAGGGGUUCUGAGAGGAAGGUCCCCCACAUUGGAACUGAGACACGGUCCAAACUCCUACGGGAGGCAGCAGUGAGGAAUAUUGGUCAAUGGGCGAGAGCCUGAACCAGCCAAGUAGCGUGCAGGAUGACGGCCCUAUGGGUUGUAAACUGCUUUUAUAUGGGAAUAAAGUGAGGGACGUGUCCCUUAUUGCAUGUACCAUACGAAUAAGGACCGGCUAAUUCCGUGCCAGCAGCCGCGGUAAUACGGAAGGUCCAGGCGUUAUCCGGAUUUAUUGGGUUUAAAGGGAGCGUAGGCUGUUUGUUAAGCGUGUUGUGAAAUGUAGGAGCUCAACUUUUAGAUUGCAGCGCGAACUGGCAGACUUGAGUGCGCACAACGUAGGCGGAAUUCAUGGUGUAGCGGUGAAAUGCUUAGAUAUCAUGACGAACUCCGAUUGCGAAGGCAGCUUACGGGAGCGCAACUGACGCUAAAG
rnacentral:rRNA from 1 species